rnacentral:tRNA from 1 species
UGGGGCUGUGGCUCAGUGGUAGAGCGCUCGCCUAGCGUGCAUGAGGCCCUGGGUUCAAUCCUCAGCACCACAA